AACAUGUCUUUUUGAAAAUAAUUUAAAGUCAAAUYUGCUCCAUGAAAAUAUAUUAAAUAGCUGCAGAAUUUUAACUGUACAAAGGUAGCAUAAUCAAUAGUUUUUUAAUUAAAAGCUGGAAUGAAUGAUUUAAUAAGGUAAAUAUUGUCUCAAUUUUAAUAAUAUUAUAAUUUUUUUUUUAGUAAAAAUACUAAAUUAAAUUUAAAAGACGAGAAGACCCUAUAGAUUUUUAUAAUUUAAAUUAAUAAAAUUUUAAAUAAAUAAUAAAUUUUAAUAAAAAAUUAUUUGGUUGGGGAAAUUAUUAAAUUAAAUAAAUUUUAAUUAUUUUAAACAAAAAUUAUUGAAUUAAUUGAUCUUAUAUAUAAAUUUUGAGAAUAAAUUACCUUAGGGAUAACAGCGUAAUUUUUUUGGAGAGAUCUUAUUGAUAAAAAAGUUUGCGACCUCGAUGUUGAAUUAAGAUAAAAUUUUAAUGAAGAAAUWAAAAAAUUUUGGUCUGUUCGACCAUUAAAAUCUUA
rnacentral:rRNA from 1 species